rnacentral:misc_RNA from 1 species
GAUGAAGAACGCAGCGAAAUGCGAUAAGUAAUGUGAAUUGCAGAAUUCAGUGAAUCAUCGAAUUUUUGAACGCAUAUUGCGCUCUCUGGUAUUCCGGAGAGCAUGCUUGUUUGAGUAUCAGUAAACACCUCAACUUCCAUAUCUUUUUUGAAAUGGGAGUUGGACUUGAGUGAUCCCAACGCUUUUCCUCACCGAAAAGUGGCGGGUUACUUGAAAUGCAGGUGCAGCUGGACUUUUCUCUGAGCUAUAAGCAUAUCUAUUUAGUCUGCCUAAAAAACAGAUUAUUACCUUUGCUGCAGCUAACAUAAAGGAGAUUAGUUCUUGUGCUGACUGAUGCAGGAUUCACAAAGACAGGCUUCGGCCGACUUUGUAAACUCGAUCUCAAAUCAAGUAAGACUACCCGCUGAACUUAAGCAUAUCAAUAAGCGGAGGA